rnacentral:rRNA from 1 species
GACAGAGGGUGCAAACGUUGCUCGGAAUCAUUGGGCGUAAAGAGCGUGUAGGCGGCCCGGUAAGUCCGCUGUAAAAGUCAAAGGCUCAACCUUUGAAUGUCAGUGGAUACUGCCGGGCUAGAGUCCGGAAGAGGCGAGUGGAACUCCUGGUGUAGCGGUGGAAUGCGCAGAUAUCAGGAGGAACACCGGUGGCGAAGGCGGUGCUCUGGGCCAGUACUGACGUGAGGAGCGAAAGCGUGGGGGAGCAAACAGG